rnacentral:lncRNA from 1 species
AAAUAACCAAACCCUUUCUUUCUUUCUUUCCCUUAUAAAACCCUCUCAUAACUUCUCAUACCCUCUCCAGUUCACGCCACCUUCUCUCAAAGCGUGACCAUUCAAAAACAUCAUAAAAUAAAAAAAACAUUCAAACACAACAAAAUCAUUCUGCAACAAACAAACAAACACAAACACAAUGUCUCUCUCUUCAACAUCUUCCACCUCUCUCAUUCCCACCAAAUCAUUACUCCAACCCACCAAACCAAACCCACCUUCAUUCCCCAUCGGGCUCAAACCCAUGCCCAAACCCAAACCCGGUUCAAUC